rnacentral:rRNA from 1 species
UACAGAGGUCCCAAGCGUUGUUCGGAUUCAUUGGGCGUAAAGGGUGCGUAGGCGGCGGGGUAAGUCAGGUGUGAAAUACCGGAGCUCAACUCCGGAACUGCACUUGAUACUGCCUUGCUCGAGUACUGGAGAGGAGACUGGAAUUUACGGUGUAGCAGUGAAAUGCGUAGAUAUCGUAAGGAAGACCAGUGGCGAAGGCGAGUCUCUGGACAGUUACUGACGCUGAGGCACGAAGGCCAGGGGAGCAAACGGG